rnacentral:tRNA from 1 species
GGCCCGAUAGUGUAAUGGCUAGCACACCAGUUUUUGGUACUGGGGGUCAGGGUUCGAAUCCUUGUCGGGCUA